rnacentral:rRNA from 1 species
GAUGAACGCUGGCGGCGUGCCUAACACAUGCAAGUCGAGCGAUGAAGUUUCCUUCGGGAAACGGAUUAGCGGCGGACGGGUGAGUAACACGUGGGCAACCUGCCUUAUAGAGGGGAAUAGCCUUCCGAAAGGAAGAUUAAUACCGCAUAACAUUAUCGAAUGGCAUCAUUUGAUAAUCAAAGGAGCAAUCCGCUAUAAGAUGGGCCCGCGUCGCAUUAGUUAGUUGGUGGGGUAAUGGCCUACCAAGACGACGAUGCGUAGCCGACCUGAGAGGGUGAUCGGCCACAUUGGGACUGAGACACGGCCCAGACUCCUACGGGAGGCAGCAGUGGGGAAUAUUGCACAAUGGGGGAAACCCUGAUGCAGCAACGCCGCGUGAGCGAUGAAGGUCUUCGGAUCGUAAAGCUCUGUCUUUAGGGAUGAUAAUGACAGUACCUAAGGAGGAAGCCACGGCUAACUACGUGCCAGCCGCCGCCGUAACAC